GGAAAGAUGCCGGAGUGGUCGAACGGGACGGUCUCGAAAACCGUUGUACCCUUUCGGGUACCCAGGGUUCGAAUCCCUGUCUUUCCGCCA
rnacentral:tRNA from 1 species